AAUAGCUAUUAAGAAUUAGUUGGGCUACCACAUUAGCACUGUAAAAUAAUUAUUAAAUAAAAAUAUAAUUUUUAAAAUUACUCAAAAAUACAUAACUAUCAAAUUUUGAUUUAAUAUAGUCGAUUUUAUGCAAAAAUAUUAAUGAGUGGACAUUGGUUAAUUGAUAAACUAAUUAAGUUUGGCUUUAAUAUGACCACAUUAAAUCAACUUGAAAAUCAAAAUUUGCAUGUCAAUAGAUAGUGAAUAAAGAUCUCUGCAAUUGGUUGAUCAAAUUACACGUAAUUCUGAUAGACUCUACAAAAUGGGCUACCAGAUUUACAUGUUUUGAAAAUCCAAAUUAUCAAGAUGAAUCUCACAAGUCUUCUCUCAAUCGACUACUUAAAUUGCAUGCAAUUCAAACAAUUAAUUGUAAUAGAUCUAAAUUUAUAGUCAAUAGUGUACCAAUGCUCGUGAUAUUAUUAGCAUCAAUAGUGAUUAUCAUAAGAGACCACCAUUUAAUCCACAAAGAGUAAUGUUAUAUAUAAGAUUUUAUUUUAAUCUUCUACAUUGUAACAUAAUUUUAAAAAUUAUUAUUUAAUCAAAAUUUAAUGGUAAUUCAUCUUAAAUUUAAUAAUAAUUUUAAAAAUUAUAUCACAUGUGAGAAUAUAAAGGAAGAUAGGAGUCUUUGUAUUACUCAUCCAUAAACAUGGUCUUGUUUAUGUAAAACCCCCAAUUAUUAUGGGAAACUAUAUUAGCAUUAAAGUGCUUCCAUUUGAUAAUUACAAGUUCUCUCAACGCAUGAUAGAGCUUUAUUAACAAGUGUGAGCGUGAAAAAACAAAUUAUGGUAAGGUUGUAUAUUAAUUUCGAACAUUUAUUUUCUCCUGUAGCCAAAGUAAGUUUCAUUCACGGAAAAUGGCAGGUGUGCAGGAAAACAUUAAUUACAUUUUAUUUUUAAGUUUCGUAAAUAAAUAGAAAGAUCUGAGCAUGAUUAAAGGUGGCCAUUAAGGAGGGGAUGUAUGAUAAAGACAAUUAUUGGAGAUAAGAAAGGAGGGAGGUGAUGAAGAAAUCAAAGAGAGGAAGGAGCAAAUAUAGUAUGUUGAGAGAGAGAUAGAAAACUAGUAGUAGUUAAUUUCUUUUGGCUUUUUGAUUAUUUAACUUCAAUCAUAUAUUCAAUAAUUUAAGAUGAAAAAUUGUAAAUCAUGUAAUCACUUUGACUAGAUAUUGAACAAUACAAUCCAUAUUUCACAUUGGGCUUAAAUUAUUUCUCAAUAAAUGAGUAUUAAUACUUAAAUUAUCAAUUAUUUUAAAAGUUUAAAAUGAUGAUAAAUUAUAUAUUUAAUUAUUUAAUUAAUAUCAACAAAAAUUUAUACACAAAAUCAUUGGCAUUUAAAAUGUUUUAUUUUCUCAUCCAUUAUAACUUGUUUAUUUGAAGAGAAAAAAAUUCAGUGUGGAGUGUGGAGGAUUAAAUUACAAUUCAAGACAAAUGCCAAUUUUAAGUAGUAAUAAAAUUAAGAAAAAAAAAAGUAGUAAUAAAAUUAAGAAAUAUGUGAGAACUUGAGCGAGUCACAUACAUCACUUAAAUUUUCCUCAAAAAAAAAAAAUAUAUACAUCACUUAAAUUUAUUUAAUAUGGACGUACGUGAGUAGAUGGGGACAUUAAAUCAAAAGGAAAUAUAAACAACUCAUUUUGGGUAGUGCAACUUUUACUACAUAUUUUUAUAGGUGGUAAUAUGUAUUUGCGUAUUUGAUUUAUGUUGUAUUGAGAUAUAAUUAUAAAAUUAUAUAAGUCAAUUUUAAUCCGAUCUAUUUAAUUAAACCAGUCAUACUCCCUCAACAAUAACCCACUAAUUAUUUAUCAAGUUCACGAAUCAUAUCAAAAAUAAUAAUAAUAGGUGUAUAAAAGUUUUUGUACAAAAACUUCUUAUAAAAUGAGAUAAUACUAAAUGAUUAGGUAACUUAAAAUUUAAAUUUAUCUCCUAUCCAAUCAUUUAGUACCACCUCACUUUGUAAAAAGUUUUUGUACAAAAACUUUUGUACACCUAACAUUCUUCUAUCAAAAAUUGUAUGUCAUAAAUGUUGCGUGUUGGAUUCACGAAUCAUAUUGGGUCAUACAUAUAAUACUAUAUAAAUUAAUUAUAACUCAUCCUAUUUAAUUAAUGGGUCAAAGCCAUUAACUGUAACUCACUAUUUUUCCGUUGGGUUCAUAUAGGCUUUGUGAGUCGUGUAAAAUUGUCAACUUCACAAAUUCAUGUGACGGUUCAUAUGAGUCAUGUUUUGCCAUAUGAUUGAAAAAAUCAAACAAUAAAAUUUGACAAAUAAACUUAAUUAUAUAGUAAUUGGCGUAAUAAGUAUGGCAUGAACUACCAUAUCAAUUUAUAAAAAAACUUGUACUAAAGACUAUACUACCUCUAACAUCACUCCUAUGGAGUUGCCGUCAUAUCUUAACACGGGUCAACAUAUAAAUUAUAAUAAGGCAUUUACUACACAUUUGCAUAUAAGGCAUACAUUAAAUCAAGCUAGAGUAAGUUAUUCAAAAAAAGAAAAGAAAAAUAAAAUAAAAAUCAAGCUACAGUAUGGUGAAUUUGGGUCAAGCUAUUUCCCAAGUUUUCGUACGACCCAUCAAACAAAAUGUGGUCCAAAAAUCAGGAGGACGUCGGUCCAUAAACGAAGUAUUGUCCAAGAACAAGCCUUCACUGAAUUCAAAAAGAAAAAAAGAAAAGUUCUUAGUUGGAAACCGAAAUAAAAUACGAA
rnacentral:precursor_RNA from 1 species